ACGUCACGCGGCAUUACGGCCAGUGUAGUGAGAAUGGGGAAAGUUAGUCAGUGAGUUGGUGAGGAACUGCCGGAGCCUGCUGUUAUCUGAUCCCCGCGACAAACUGCAGCCUAACGGCUCAUGGACAGCGCUGUAUUUCACUAACUGCUGGACUUAUCAGCAUCUUCACCAAAGGACGUAUCCAUGCGCCAAGGCAGGACCGUCAUUCUCUCAAAGAUACGAGCACUCUGUAACUGAAGAUGAUGACACAAACUGGUUGUAUUGCCUUGUGGUACAGACACCACUGUGUACCAAAUCUUGCACAGUCUUUGUUCUUGUUCCAUCAUCUUGGCUCCAGCUGAACUUAACAUGCCACAGCCUGCCUGUGAGUGAGUCUGAGCUUCUGGGGUGGGGUGAGAGUGCACCACUGUACAGCAAAGGCGUGCUGUGCAUUCACCGACAAAACCAGAGAAUCACUGUGAAACAGAAUGCAGCACAAUAAUUAUUAUAUCGCAUAAUAAUUUUAUCUCAAUUAUCUUGUUUUCAUCAUAGUUGGAGAUUUAAAUAAUAAAUAAAUUAAGUCAGUUUUUAUCUUCUUUUUUUAAGAUUGUUUGUUGUCAGCAUAUUACUUAUUUUACCUAAGUAAAUCUUCUAAGUACCUCAUCUAUCACUGUGAAAAUGCAGUAUAAUGAUCUAACUCCAGAAAUUAUGAAUACCACUUUUCAGAAACAUACAACUGGUUGUAAUUCUAACCAUAAACUACACCUUACAACCCCUAAAUUCUAUAAGUGAUUAUUACAACCUACAUCCUACUACGUCUCUAAGCCAUUGACAGUUGGACAGCAGAGAUCCCAGAAAUGGUUACUACACCACUAAACAGAGACCAAACUGCUCUUUAUAAGUCACAAGAUCUGACUAUUUUAGGAUGGAUGAUGUUGCCUCCAGUUUUCUGGGAACAGAACUGGGUGCAGCAGUCGCCCAUUCACUUUUUAGUCAGGCAAAACAGUGUCUGAAAGAUAUGCUGACAUUCUUCUGUAGUUUAUGUUUGAUAUGCUCAGAGCUGUGAAAGCUAAGACUAGAAACCUGAAACAUAUUUUAUAACAUAUAUGUUUAUAGUUUUAACGAAAAGAAAAUAAUGGGCUCUAUUUUGAUGUAAUUUUCUUGCACCCCCUUGGUGUCUUGCUGACUUUGGGAGGAGAGUGGACAGGGGAGGCACAGUAGAGGAUAUGAUAGCACACUGCAGUCAGGCGAUCUAGGAGGUUUACCUGCUCAGAACAGAGCAUGUGAAUUCAGUUUUAAAAUGAGAGAGUACAUUUGAGCCUCUGUAUUCAUAUUUGAAGUUCUGUGCAUCCCCAGACAUCAAAAAGGUUCCUGUGAGAAAAACUCUUCCACAGGAUUCCUAAACUGUUAGCACAUCAUGACUAGGAGAGCCCUGUAUUUUAAUAGAGUGAAAGCAAACGUAAUGAGCCAUGAUUGCCACUGCCUCAAAUACACUCAUGUAUAAUUUAUGAUAAUGUAUUCUUUCUGUUCCCACCCUGUACCUUUGUGUACCAUGACAUUACCAGGACAUGUGUCCCAGAUGCACUUGGCAGGGCGCACAUCUACACUUGACUGUGAUCUCCAUCACACUGCUGGGUCAACGAAAAUAGAGCAAAUAAUGAAAUAUAAUUUAUCAACCAAUAACAUUGCCGAAGUACAAUUCAAAUCCUGCAGAUCCAGGUCAGGAGCUUCUGUUAAUGUUCACAUCAAACGUCAGAAUGAGAAAGGAGAAGGAGAAGGAGAAGAAUCAGAAACCAUCCAGUGAGCAGCAGUUCUGUGGAGGAAAAACACCUUGUUGAUGAGAGAGGUCAGAGGUCAUGGUCAGACUGGUUGGAGCUGACAGAUUAGACUAUGGUAACAACACCUCCAAUAUUGAGGUGGAUGGGCUACAACAGCAUCAGACCACAUCAGGUUCCACUCCUAUCAGCCAGGAACAGAAACCUGAGGCUGCAGUGGACACAGGCUCACCAAAACUGGACAGCUGAAGACUGGAAACACCAGUGACCUCUCCAGUUACUACAUCUUAAUCCAGUAGAACAUUUUGGGAUGUGGUAGAACAGGAGAUUGGCAGAAUGAUGAUGAUGAAUUAAUGGAAUGAUGUGAAGCAGUCAUGUCGAUGUGGAACAGAAUCUCAGAGGAAUGAACAUGAACACAAAAUGUGAUCUACACAAGUAAACAUAAUCAGAGAGAUUGUGCUGUAAUGAACUGCUUCUGCCCUAAAACAACAGGACUUCUUUUUAAGCAAACACAAACAAAGUGUGACAAUUUCUUAAGGCUUGUUUUCAAGUUCAUAGGUUGUGUUUAUAUUUUGUGUGACACUGAAUGGCUGGUUAUACUUGGAUUUCUUAUAUUUUAAAAAACUCAUGAGGGAUACAUUCUGCUUUUCUCUAGGGAUGUAUAGUGUGAAGUGAAGUGUUUCUAAUUGACACUGGAAUAUAUCACAGUGCAUGAACCAGUAUGCUAGUUUGCCACAGACAGCUCUCUAAUAAAAUUAAAUGAUGUUAUUUAUGCAGGGGAUGUAAUGAAGCUGUUGGGAUCAUAAAUGUAAAACAUCUAUAUCUAAAUGACAAAAAGCCAUUUAACAGAUGAAGCCAAUAGUAUAUACAACAUAUUUCUGUCCAAAAAGGACAUAUGUAUAGCAGAAUAAAAGUGACAAACCCUCUUGAAGCUAAA